rnacentral:rRNA from 1 species
ACGCUCGACACCUACGGGAGACAGCAGUGGGGAAUAAUGGGCAAUGGGCGGCAAGCCUGACCCAGCAACGCCGCGUGAAUGAUGAAGGUCUUCGGAUUGUAAAGUUCUGUGACGGGGGACGAACACAAUGACGGUACCCCGACAGCAAGCCACGGCUAACUACGUACCAGCAGCCGCGGUAAUCUGAGCGGGCUGGCAAGGC